GUGGGGAAUAUUGGGCAAUGGGGGAAACCCUGACCCAGCAACGCCGCGUGAAGGAAGAAGGUUUUCGGAUCGUAAACUUCUAUCCUUGGUGAAGAUAAUGACGGUAGCCAAGAAGGAAGCCCCGGCUAACUACGUGCCAGCAGCCGCGGUAAUACGUAGGGGGCAAGCGUUGUCCGGAAUGAUUGGGCGUAAAGGGCGCGUAGGCGGCCGGGUAAGUCUGGAGUGAAAGUCCUGCUUUUAAGGUGGGAAUUGCUUUGGAUACUGUCGGGCUUGAGUGCAGGAGAGGUAAGCGGAAUUCCCGGUGUAGCGGUGAAAUGCGUAGAGAUCGGGAGGAACACCAGUGGCGAAGGCGGCUUACUGGACUGUAACUGACGCUGAGGCGCGAAAGUGUGGGGAGCAAACAGGAUUAGAUACCCGUGUAGUCC
rnacentral:rRNA from 1 species